rnacentral:misc_RNA from 1 species
UUAAAUUCCAAUGUCAACAUAGAAAAUUUCUACCUUUCAAGGUACUUUUUUGUGGAAAAAAAAAAUCUUUUCCCCCUUAGCAAAUGAUAAAUCAUUCGCAUUCAGAUAAGGAAACAAAUACUAAUUUCCAGAUUUCAUGGACAUCCAAGUCAUUUUCAUUUUAUCCACCAGCAACUAGGUGUAGAAUCUUCCAAAUAAAGAAAAGAAAUCUAAAUACAGUGGCAGCUGAAUAAAAACUACCAAAAGAAUGCUUGCUAUAAUGUGAAAAUUAAUGAAGUAGAUGCUUUGUUUAGCCACUGAAGCAAACACCUACUAGCACUUGAACAAGAGCAACCCAACCAAAUCACUCCGUUGUGCUAGGAAAUGAACUGAAACUUACUAAGUUAGAACAAUGAACUCAAAACCUAUCAAACACGAAUGCAUAUCAAGCCGAUUAGCCAACUAAUUCAAGCUCGAACGCCUAUCUAAACCACAGAUUAAAAGAAAUUCAAACAAGCAUAUCUAUCAUAUCUAAACUUAAAACUUAACCAUUAACCAGAAGCUCAAUAACCUAUAUGAAA